AUGCAGCCCUGGAGUGCCCCGGAUAAGAACAUGGCUCCUGCUCUUGCUAGCAGACAGGAAGUCUUGGUGCUGGUACGGUCGUUGACCUAUAGGUUCAAUCAUCACUGCCUAAAUUGCUGCGAGUUACACUCAGAUGAAUCUGAUGCCUGCAUUUCACUCAUUUUAUUUAUUGAACCAGGCAACUUGCAGUUGCGCAGCCCGCAUACUAAGAAGAUAUGCUCUUGCACCAAAUUAGUUUGUCAGCCUUUGGAGAAACCGGAGGGGGCGUUUGUUGUGUCAGCAGGUCCUGUCCAGAAUCAAAUCAUAACGUGCCUACACUUGGUUGUAAUCUCACGUGGCCAUGGCAUUUUUCUUCCGGCCUGCUGCUCUAUGCAGCUGGAGAGCUCCAAGUUCCCAAACGCCAGAAUAUUCCAACACUAG
rnacentral:rRNA from 1 species